rnacentral:lncRNA from 1 species
AUUACAUUUUAAAGAGUUUAUUUGAGGAAAAAGCAAUUCAUGAAUUGGGGUAUGCCAGACCAAAAAAAUGUUCAAUGUUCUAAUGACAUAGCGUCAGAGGCAAAUAUUUUUAGGUUGAAUACGGAAAAAAGAUAAAGAAAUUAUUUGAUUGGUGACAGUUGCAAAAUUAUCUUAUUUGAUUCAUCCCAUUCGAAAGUCCCUAGUUAUAUAAUUAGAAACUUUUUGUCUGCCAAUAAUUGGCUGAGGUUUUCUUUCUAACAUAAGCAUUUACCAGAAAUGGCUAAAGUUAAGUUUUGCUAAAGUUUGCAAAUUAAGCAAAGUUAAGAUGACUUAUGAGGCCUGACUGCUUUUGUCUAGUCAGAGAUUCUUCAGGCUGGUCUCUCGUCAUUUUAAUUUACUUUAACAACAGUGAACUCAUAGGAAUUAGAAUAAAGACUGAAACUGCAAGACUGAAAGCACAUACCACUUAUUAGGAAAAAUCUCUAACAGUAAACCUUCAGACACAUUCUGGUUAAACCAUUAAACUAAAAUUUUUUUUUCACAUUCAGGACAAAAAUAAUUCACUUACAAGGAGAAAAAUCAGGUGGGUUUCAGAUGUCUUUCCAGCAGCAAUCAGUGCCAGAGCAAAGGAGAAAUGUCCAGAAGAAAAACAGAAUAUGACCCAAGUGGAUUCUACCCAGCCAAGCUGGAGCUUAGGUAUAAAGGCAAGAGCUCACAUUUUCAGACAUGAAGGGACUCAGAAAAUACAACAUCUGUUAGCCCUUGUGAAAAAUCUACUUGAUGGUGAGAUCUUGUUAACUAAAGGUUGCAUCAAAAGAGAGUCCUGCCAUUCUGAAGCUGUAGAAGUGGGAUUGGUAGGGAGCAUGGAAUCCAGGUGGAUGCAGGAAUGCUAUUAACACCCAGGAGAGAGAUGGUUUCAGAUGCAGAAUGAAAUGUUGCAAACUCUGAAAAGUUGAAAUAAUUUAAGCAUCGAAACCAGAAAGAAGAAGAGGGCAGGAUAGACGUGUAUCUAAAUGUUAAUCUCUUAUCUUUCCCAGCGUGUAUCAAUCUCAUCUCUACGGAAACUCACUUUUUUUUUUUUUUUUUUUUAGACAUAGCACUCUGUCGCCCAGGCUGGAGUGCAGCGGCUCAAUCACAGCUCACUGCAGUCUCGCCCUCCUGGGCUUAAUUACUUCUGAAUUUCGGAGAUCUAGUAAAACAAAAAUAAACGACAUAGAGAAUCUCAAUAUUACAAUUAACGAGCUUGAUUUCGUACAUACGUAGAAUUCAGUGUCUUACCAAUGAAAAAUAAACAUCAUUUUAUUUUGUCCUCAGAAUCUUUGUAAAAAUUGAUCUCAUAUUUGGCUCUAAAGAAAAUCUAUAAAAUAUAAAAGUGGAGAUACACAAGCUAAAUGUCCUGAGCCUCAGCCUAUACAAUUAAAAUUUAUCACAAAAGCAUACUUAAAAAGUCUUCACUACUUAGAAUUAAGAAACAAUCUCCUAAGUAACUUCUACAUGAGAGGAAUUCAAAAUUAAAAUUGUCUAGAAAAGAAUAAAAAAGAGAUAUACUUGAAUGCAUAAAUAAUUGAAAGAAAAGAGGGAAAGAGGGAGAGAGAGAGAGAACUAACCUAAAUAUUUUUUAGUUGUUUGAAAAAGCCAUCAGUUGAUGCCAAUUAAUAGAACCCCACCAUGAGUCAGCAGGUGUAGGCUCUGGUCUCACUUCUGGCAUCAUCUUGGCAAGUCGUUCUUCCUCUGGACCUCAGACUCCUAGCUCCAAAAUGACAGACUCAGCAAGAUGAUCUAGGGUUUCUCCUGGCUCCAGUUCAUUCGAACAGCAUCUUUUACAUAUUUCAAUUAGUCACCCAUGUUUACAUAUCAGAAGAUUUGACAUAAAAAAUUCCACCUCUAUUUUCUUUUAAAAACCAGAGUUUGAGGUGGCACUCCUGGGUCUGCCUGGAUCAAGGUCGCUCCUUCAGGUCACCGGAGUUCCUACCACCAACUUCACUCUGGUCUGCCUGGACUGUGGGGUUUUCAGCCCCUAAGCAGAAGAAAGGAACUUAGAGUAUCAGUUGUCACCCUCUCCAGAGAAAACUCAAGGCUUUUUUUUCUUUUUGGGUUUCCCCUUAUAGUGAAUAUGGAGUCCAAGAGAACAAAACCUCAAACUGAUUCUCUAAAUUCUCAUUUUUGUUCUUCAUAAAAAUUUCCAUCCAGGCAGUUUAAAUAAGCCCAGUUGUUUCCAAGAAAACAGAAGGGAAAGCUGAGGAAACCCCACCCCCCACCCCCAGUUCCCAGGGCUCCAGUGCUUGCUCUGUGCCCCAGACCACUGCCCAUCUGGAUCCUGGUUGUGUUAGGGGGGCGGGCGCGGGAGGGCACCAUCUGGUAGAGAACUUACUGCGGUUUGGCUGAGUUGUAUAGGUGAAGCUUUCAUUCUCAAAUAAAUUUUAAAAGAUUCUUGCUCAAUAUAAGGAUAUGGGAUAUAGAGACAAAUGUUCCAGAAAAAAAAAAAAAAAAGAUUAAAAAUCCACAUAGGCAACAAUCCUUCAUCUUCUUAGGGCAGUCUAGUCCAGGAAGCUUCUCCUGCUUUUGAAGGUUUUUCUUUGAUCUUAAAAUAAAUGAGGCCAGGUGCAGUGGCUCAUGCCUGUAAUCUCAGCAUUUUGGGAAGUCAAGGUGGGAGGAUCACUUGAGGCCAGGAGCUUGAGACCAGCCUGGGCAAUAUAGAGAGAUGCCAUCUCUACAAAAAAAUAAAAAAACAAAAUUAGCGGCCAGGCACAGUGGCUCACUCCUGUAAUCCCAGCACUUUGGGAGACCAAGGUGGGUGGAUCACUUGAGGUCAGGAGUUCAAGACCAGCCUGGCCAACAUGGUGAAACCCCCUCUUCACCAAAAAUACAAAAAUUAGCCAGGUGUGGUGGUGCAUGCCUGUAGUCCCAGCUACUUGGGAGGCUGAGGCAGGAGAGUCACUUGAACCCAGGAGACAGAGGCUGCAAUGAGCCAAAAUUGCACCACAGCACUCCAGCCUGGGCAACAGCCUAGAUGUUAUUUUUUAAGAUGUCUUUAAAAUAUAUACAAAUUUUAAAAUAAAAUGAAUGUUUUUUUCUCUUCUCUCAAUAGACCCAAGUUUUCUUUGCUUCUUGUGAAUGGCCUCACUACCCAAUCUUUUUUUCCCAUAGUGAACGUGCCCAGAGAAUGCAGGUCAGCUGGACACCAGAAGUGGAAGUGGAAAGGCUGUGGGCUAUUGUCACUGAACUAGAGAUGGAUGGGAACAGGCCGGUCUCUCAAACUUGGGAGGUGAGAACCAGACACCCCCAAAUCCCACGAGCCAGAAAGAGCUACUGAGACCAUCCUCAUGAACACUUCUCUUUGUAUGUUUUAGAGAUUUAACCAUACAUAGUAUGCAACUUUAUAUGCAUAUGGUGUGAGUUUUAGAUAACUAGAAUCUUGUUGUUUAGGAUGUUUUCUGUUCAGCAAUAUGUGGUGGAUACAUCUCAAUCUGAAGAAAUAAAAGAUCUGCAUCAGUGGGGCCGGUGGUGCUAACGCAUGUCUGUAAUCCCAGCACUUUGGGAUGCUGAGGUGGGAGGAUCACCUGAGGUCAGGAGUUCGAGACCAGCCUGGCCAACAUGGUGAAACCCCGUCUCUACUAAAAAUACAAAAAUUAGCCUGGUGCAGUGGUGCGCACCUAUAGUCCCAGGUACUCAUGAGGCUGAGGCAGGAGAAUUGCUUGAACCUGGGAAGCAGAGGUUGCAGUGAGCCAAGAUCGUGCCAUUGCACUCCAGCCUGGGCAACAGAGUGAGACUCUGUCUCAAAAAACAAAAAGCAAACAAACAAACAAAAAACACCAAGAUCUGCAUCAGCGGCGGUACUGAACACAGGUACAAUUUCACGGCUUCCUAAUGUGUUGUAUCCAUUUACAGUCCUAACAGCAGGAUGUGAAAUCGCUCAUAUUUUCUAAACCUUUCCUACACUUGGUUUUAUCACUCUGUUUAUUCUUUGCCAAUCUAAAACUGUUCCAAUACAAUGUAAAAUUUAAAUUUAAAUAAAAUGUGCAUUUCGCUGAUUAAUGUAAGUUGGAAUAUCAUUAUCUUUUCAUAGUUCUUGGGCAAUUAUAUUUCUUCUCUCAGAUUUACACAGUCAUGUCCUCCCCAUUUUUCAAUGUGACCAUUUAGUUCUUACUGAAAAGUAAGUGCACAUUUUAUAACAGGAAUAUUAACCCUUUGUCUUUUUUUUUUCUUUUUGUAGAAUUUUGCAAAAUCUUUGUGGCUGGUCUCUCCACUCUGAUUUUAAUGAUAGUCUUGUUUUGUUUGUUUUUAAAAAAAACACUAUGCUGCAGUUUUAAAUUUCUUUGUAGACAAAUCUUCCGUCUGUGACUUGAUAGAAAAGAAGACAGAUGAGUGUGAACAGAUGGAGGGGAUCCGGGGUGGAUUGGGCAGGAGGGUCUCAUGGCCCUGUGCAGAGUGGAGCUCACCUGUGAAUUCUGACAGGUAAUCCCAGCCACAGUCCAAUAACUGCUGGCAACGGUGAACAAAGGAAAGCUUCUGUGCCUCAGGUGAAACGGGAGUCUAGAAAAAGUUAAUGAAAG